UGAGAGCCCAGAGGCAGAAGGAGGGGUGCAGGCACUGCCGCUGAGAGGAGAUCGAGAGACAGGGGGUGCACUUGACAACCAGCAUGCAGAGAUGCUCGAAGACCAGCCCAGACCUCUCAUUUCAUCUUGCCGUGUCACGAGUCAGUGCUGUGUCGUCUUUUCAAAAAUCUGCCUGAUUUAGACAAGAAAGAAAAGUACUUUCAUGUUGCAGCCGCAGUCCCCUGCUAACUUGUCAGCAGCAGGAUAUGAUUCACUUGGGCCCAGAAGAAUGGUACAGAGAUGAGGGUUAGGCGGUUCAAUAAGCCCAUGGACAGGUAGUGUGUGACCUCCCAAGAGAGCUUAAGUUAAUGAAGAACAGGUCUGCUUAGUUCUUCACACUCUGACCUGGUGCUGUCCCCACAGUUUUCUCAUUUGAUCUUUCCCAGCAAAUUGAUCUUUUCUAGUACUUUUUUGCCUUCCAAGUUAGUCCUUGUGGGACUGAAAUUAGCAGAGCAACUUAAGUUGGAUAAUACAGCUGUUCAGAAAAGAAGAAAUUGGACACUAGCUCAUAAGAGGGGGAGGGGAAAGUAAGCUAUUCUUUCUGUGGUUAUUCAGAAUUCUUUUUUUUUUUUAGUUUUAUUUUAGAAAACUUCACCGCUCUAUUACUUUGGAAUUUCGCUUUCUUAUUUAUAGUCUUUAUGGAUGGUCCAUUGCACACCACAUUAAAUGUGUAUCGUUUAAAUAAAACAAACAUGCUUGCAGCAUAGACUGCAGGUUUGCUUUGGUAUUUGUCAGUUGAACUUGCUUGUUAGAAAUGAUAUGCUAGUCUGUAAUGAGGCUUUUACAGUUGUUGUAAGACAUUUAAAAUAUCAAUUGCACAUGCCAACUAUGUUAUUUAUAGCCUGCUAAAUAACUGUAAUACCAUAGUAUCCAAUACUGAAAUGCAGUGGAGAUUAAACAGUAAAAGCCAUUACAAAUGGUAUGUGUAAAUAUGUGUAAAUAUUAUGGUAGGUGAAAAUACAGUCAGCAAAUUACCACUGGCAUUACUGGUUCUCUGGAAAAAAACAGUGUAUACAAACAAAUUGGUUUUGAACUAGAACACUCUGUACUUAAAACCUGGGUUCUAAAAUGGGGCUAUGGUAUUAUCUGUUUUUCUUAUAUUCUUUUGCUCUUAGUAAUUGGAAAGUGGAAUGGAGUGUGUGUGUGUUCAAGUACAUUCAUGACUAGGAUGCCAAACAAUGUAAGAUUUCAAACUAGAAUUUAGUAAAUGUAAGUUGGAAAUUAAGAGGGUCUUUAGUAUGCUGCACAAUAAUAAGUAGUAUUUAAUAUCCUGUAUUUUGUAUCAGAUGUUCUCACAUACUAUCCACAUCCUUUCAAGUUAUAGAAUUGAAAACAUUGCUGAAUGAAUACAAGUACACUUAUUAUGUGAGGGAAAUACUGCUAUAGCUCUCUCUCAGUAUUGCUUUUAAAAAUGGGAAGAGCUAGAGGGAGCUUCUUUAUUUUAUUAGAUAUGCCAUAGGUAAGACAAAGGGGAAAAGUGUUCUGAAUAAGGGAAGGCUGAUUGCUAACUUUUUUUCUGAGCUAAAGGUUUACAACUUACUUAGGCUUGGAAGAGGCUUUAUUCUACCUUACAUAUAUACAUGAAUGUCAGUGGGAUUUGGGCUGACUGCAGAUCCUGUCAAUUUCAGGCAAAAAGAAAUGACCAACAGCAAAGUAAUUACAUUAAAACAACUUCAAGUAAAACAUUGGAUUUAAUACAAAACCAUUUUUUUUCCCAAAAAAGGUGGGAGUUUCUUGCAGUGUCCCUUUUUCUUUUGCACGUUGAACACUGUCACAAGAAUCUGAAGUAUUUUGUUAACUGAAUAUUGUUUAAUGAAAGAGUCCUGAUUUCCAGUCUACAGGUUUGCACAGGACUUUUGAUUUAAUUUGAUUUGAUAUCCACUAUUAGUAUGUGUUAGGAAAAUGCAAAACAAAUAGGUUGUAUCUGUCAUUUUAGAAAUGUGUAUCACUUCCUAAUCUAGCCAGGAACUUGUAUUUAAUUUGGAGGAGUAGCAUUUAACAUAGCUUAAUAAAAAGCAUCUGUUUAAA